CCUACGGGAGGCAGCAGUGAGGAAUAUUGGUCAAUGGGCGAGAGCCUGAACCAGCCAAGUCGCGUGAAGGAUGACGGCCCUACGGGUUGUAAACUUCUUUUGUCAGGGAGCAAUUUGGUCCACGCGUGGGCUUAGCGAGAGUACCUGAAGAAAAAGCAUCGGCUAACUCCGUGCCAGCAGCCGCGGUAAUACGGAGGAUGCGAGCGUUAUCCGGAUUUAUUGGGUUUAAAGGGCGAGUAGGCGGGAUUGCAAGUCAGAUGUGAAAACUAUGGGCUCAACCGAUAGAGUGCAUUUGAAACUGCAGUUCUUGAGUGAUGGAGAGGCAGGCGGAAUUCCCGGUGUAGCGGUGGAAUGCGUAGAUAUCGGGAGGAACACCAGUGGCGAAGGCGGCCUGCUGGACAUUAACUGACGCUGAGGCGCGAAAGCGUGGGGAGCAAACAGGAUUAGAUACCCCUGUAGUC
rnacentral:rRNA from 1 species